GAAAUGUGAUAAGUAAUGUGAAUUGCAGAAUUCAGUGAAUCAUCGAAUCUUUGAACGCACAUUGCGCCCCCUGGCAUUCCGGGGGGCAUGCCUGUCCGAGCGUCAUUGCUGCCCUUCAAGCCCGGCUUGUGUGUUGGGUCGUCGUCCCCUCCGGGGGACGGGCCCGAAAGGCAGCGGCGGCACCGCGUCCGGUCCUCGAGCGUAUGGGGCUUUGUCACCCGCUCGAUAAGGACCGGCCGGGCGCCAGCCGGCGUCUCCAACCUUUUUUUCUCAGGUUGACCUCGGAUCAGGUAGGGAUACCCGCUGAACUUAAGC
rnacentral:misc_RNA from 1 species